rnacentral:tRNA from 1 species
AACCGCGUAGCUCAGUUGGCAGAGCAUUGGGCUAGUAUUCCGAAGGUCGUAGGUUCGAUUCCCACCGUGGUCA